GGUUUUUUAGUCAAUUAUGAUUUUAAAUUGCAAAUUUAAAGGUAAAAUUUUUUUAAAAGCCU
rnacentral:tRNA from 1 species